UUCACUAACACCUGAAUAACCUGCCCUUGACUUUGGGAUAACUUCAGGAAACUGGGGCUAAUACCGGAUAGGAGCUCCUGCUGCAUGGUGGGGGUUGGAAAGUUUCGGCGGUUGGGGAUGGACUCGCGGCUUAUCAGCUUGUUGGUGGGGUAGUGGCUUACCAAGGCUUUGACGGGUAGCCGGCCUGAGAGGGUGACCGGCCACAUUGGGACUGAGAUACGGCCCAUACUCCUACGGGAGGCAGCAGUGGGGAAUAUUGCACAAUGGGCGGAAGCCUGAUGCAGCAACGCCGCGUGCGGGAUGACGGCCUUCGGGUUGUAAACCGCUUUCGCCUGUGACGAAGCGUGAGUGACGGUAAUGGGUAAAGAAGCACCGGCUAAC
rnacentral:rRNA from 1 species